UUCUUUUCAUUAACUCAUUGUGUUUGUUCUUAUUUUUAUAUUCCACAUUGUUUGGCCAGUCAAAUCAACAGUGGGUUUCUAAAGAGUGGGGUGCUGAACAAAUGGGGGCUCCUACUGUACCUCCCGCCAUUGGUGCCAGUGAAGACUGGGGUUCAUCUCGAGACUGGAGUACUGAAGCUGCUGCUCCUGCCGCAAAAGAUUGGGCAGAGACCAAGGAUUGGGCUGACCCUGCACCCAAAGAAUGGGGAGCUGAUGACCUACAGCCUAGCGGAGAUUGGGGAACCUCAGUCACCAUGCAGGAUGGAAAGAGUGCUGGAGCAGAGUGGGCCUAAACUGUGACCCUUUGUGCAUUGAUGCUGAAUGUACUGCCUUGUCAGAAAGAGACUUAAUAAAAACUCCCACUUUGUCUGAA